ensembl:lncRNA
UGGUGAUGAAGAUGAUGAUGAUGAUGAUGAUGUGUUUAUGGUGUAACAGGCAGCAGGAGCGGGUGGUGAUGAUGAUGAUGAUGAUGAAGAUGUGUGUUUAUGGUGUAACAGGCAGCAGGAGCGGGUGGUGAUGAUGAUGAUGAUGAUGAUGUGUGUUUAUGGUGUAACAGGCAGCAGGAGCGGGUGAUGAUGAUGAUGAUGAUGAUGUGUGUUUAUGGUGUAACAGGCAGCAGGAGCGGGUGAUGAUGAUGAUGAUGAUGUUUGUUUAUGGUGUAACAGGCAGCAGGAGCGGGUGAUGAUGAUUGAUGAUGAUGAUGAUGUUUGUUUAUGGUGUAACAGGCAGCAGGAGCGGGUGGUGAUGAUGAUGAUGAUGAUGAUGAAGAUGUGUGUUUAUGGUGUAACAGGCAGCAGGGAGCGGUGAUGAUGAUGAUGAUGAUGAUGUUUGUUUAUGGUGUAACAGGCAGCAGGAGCGGGUGGUGAUGAUGAUGAUGAUGAUGAUGAAGAUGUGUGUUUAUGGUGUAACAGGCAGCAGGAGCGGGUGAUGAUGAUGAUGAUUGAUGAUGAUGAAGAUGUGUGUUUAUGGUGUAACAGGCAGCAGGAGCGGGUGAUGAUGAUGAUGAUGAUGUGUGUUUAUGGUGUAACAGGCAGCAGGAGCGGGUGAUGAUGAUGGUGAUGAUGAUGAUGAUGUGUGUUUAUGGUGUAACAGGCAGCAGGAGCGGGUGAUGAUGAUGAUGAUGAUGAUGAUGAUGUGUGUUUAUGGUGUAACAGGCAGCAGGAGCGGGUGAUGAUGAUGAUGAUGAUGAUGAUGAUGAUGAUGAUGUUUGUUUAUGGUGUAACAGGCAGCAGGAGCGGAUGAUGAUGAUGAUGAUGAUGAUGUGUGUUUAUGGUGUAACAGGCAGCAGGAGCGGGUGGUGAUGAUGAUGAUGAUGUGUGUUUAUGGUGUAACAGGCAGCAGGAGCGGGUGGUGAUGAUGAUGAUGAUGAAGAUGUGUGUUUAUGGUGUAACAGGCAGCAGGAGCGGGUGAUGAUGAUGAUGAUGAUGAUGUGUGUUUAUGGUGUAACAGGCAGCAGGAGCGGGUGGUGAUGAUGAUGAUGAUGUGUGUUUAUGGUGUAACAGGCAGCAGGAGCGGGUGGUGAUGAUGAUGAUGAUGAUGAUGAUGAUGUGUGUUUAUGGUGUAACAGGCAGCAGGAGCGGGUGAUGAUGAUGAUGAUGAUGAUGAUGAAGAUGUGUGUUUAUGGUGUAACAGGCAGCAGGAGCGGGUGGUGAUGAUGAUGAUGAUGUGUGUUUAUGGUGUAACAGGCAGCAGGAGCGGGUGAUGAUGAAGAUGAUGAUGAUGAAGAUGUGUGUUUAUGGUGUAACAGGCAGCAGGAGCGGGUGGUGAUGAUGAUGAUGAUGAUGAUGAUGAUGAUGAAGAUGUGUGUUUAUGGUGUAACAGGCAGCAGGAGCGGGUGAUGAUGAUGAUGAUGAUGAUGUUGUUUAUGGUGUAACAGGCAGCAGGAGCGGGUGGUGAUGAUGAUGAUGAUGAUGAUGAUGAUGAUGAAGAUGUGUGUUUAUGGUGUAACAGGCAGCAGGAGCGGGUGGUGAUGAUGAUGGUGAUGAUGAUGAUGAUGUUUGUUUAUGGUGUAACAGGCAGCAGGAGCGGGUGAUGAUGAUGAUGAUGAUGAUGAAGAUGUG